AUGAACUAUUGUGGACGCCUACAAGUGUGUUCUGGAGUACCACUUUUACUGUGCUCCAAACUUCAUUUAAACACUUAUACACUGAAAACUGUGAGAGAGAAAAAACCAUGUAGUGACAGAAAAGUGCAAAUGUGCUUUUUGCCACCAGAUAUACCAUAUACCUUAUACCAUAGCCACCAGAUCCAGUCUGUAUCCAAGUCAGAGGGUCACUGCAGCCACCCGGAUCCAGUACGUAUCCAGCCCAGAUGGUGGAUCAGCACCUAGAAAGGACCUCUACAGCCCUGAAAGACAGCAGAGACCAGGACAACUAGAGCCCCAGAGACAGAUCCCCUGUAAAGACCUUGUCUCAGACGACCAAUGGGACAAGACCACAGGAAACAGAUGAUUCUUCUGCACAAUCUGACUUUGCUGCAGCCUGGAAUUGAACUGCUGGUUUCGUCUGGUCAGAGGAGAACUGGCCCCCGACUGAGCCUGGUUUCUCCCAAGGUUUUUUCUCCAUUCUGUCACUGAUGGAGUUUUUGUUCCUUGCCGCUGUCGCCUCUGGCUUGCUUAGUUGGGGACACUUCAUUUACAGCAGCUGCAUGUGACAUCACUGAAUUCAAUGAUGAACUGCCUUUAACUGUCAUUUUGCAUUAUUGACACUGUUUUCCUAAUUAAUGUUGUUCAGUUGCUUUGACACAAUCUUUUUUGUUUAAAGCGCUAUAUAAAUAAAGGUGACUUUACAUGACUUGACUUGACAUAGUCAAUAUGAGAUACAAAGUAGAAAUUAUGAGAUAGAAAGUCAAAAUUAUGAGAUAAAAAGUCAAAAUUAUGUCACAGUCAAUCAUGAGAUAAGUAGAAAUUAUGAGAAAGUCAAAAUUAUGACAGUCAAUUAUGAGAUAAAAAGUAGAAAUUAUGAGAAAGUAAAAAUUAUGACACAGGCAAUUAUGAGAUAAAAAGUAGCAAUUAUGAGAUAGAAAGUCAAAAUUAUGACACAGGCAAUUAUGAGAUAAAAAGUAGAAAUUAUGAGAUAGAAAGUCAAAAUUAUGACAGUCAAUGUCAAUUAUGAAGAUAAAAAGUCGAAAUUAUAGAGAUAAAAAGACAAAAUAGAU
rnacentral:lncRNA from 1 species